GCUUCUGCCUGUGACUGGCAAGUCUGAAAUCAUCUCAGGGGAAACAUAUCACAUCAAGAACAGGAAGACUCUUGUUUGGUGCCAGAGCAGCUUGAAAUCUGGUCCAGAAUAUUUUAUCUGAAGAAGAAAGAAGAAGAAGCUCUGACUUGGGAUUCUCUCUUCUGAGCAAGACAAUUGCAAUCUGCUUCAAGCUUUAGAGCUAAUGGUACCACCCACUGAGUCUCCUUUUGGACCUAUGAAUAGGGACAAUUCUCGCAGUUUUAAAGUGGCCCCAUCCUGUCAAGCUACCAGAGGCAGCCGGGCCACGCCCUCCUGGGAGGGACUUCUGAAUUACUGAUGGCUGUUUUCAUCUGACUUUUGGAAAGCUUCCUGCAUCCAGGUUCCAGCCUAGAGUUCCUGCCUGACUUCCUGGAUUAUAAGCUGAAUGGAAGAACAAGAUGAACCAGAGAUCUGGCGGGAGCCAUCUAACAGUACAAUCAGGGACAGUGGCUCCCUACAGACCCUUAGCCCACCUCAGAUACACUCACGCUCAUGGUGUUUUACCACAGAUGCCUCACACUUCAUGAACCUGUCAAUGCCAAUACAUUUCAUCUUGAAUUAUG
rnacentral:lncRNA from 1 species